rnacentral:lncRNA from 1 species
GUAAUGCAUCUUAGACACUUUGUAGAGUUGUAGUAACCCACUAGAUAAAUUAAAAGUAGUUAAUGCACUCAUGCAUUAUUUUAGGCAUAUUAAUGAUCAUGUAGAAAGUAAUCAUUUUGAAUAUUUUUUAUCUUAGUUAAAGAUAGACAACAAGCAUUUAUAACCAAUGGAGAGAGGUAUUUGAUCUAAUAAUCAAUUAUCUUUAUCUGUAUUAUAGAGGAUUUUUAUACAUUUCAUGAAGCAAUUGAAUUUGCUAGACAAAAGAUAGAACCAAAUUUCAAGUUAGCCAUUUAAUUAACCUUUUAAAUAGUGCAUCAACAUCAUUAGCCAAACAAUUAAAUAAUUCUCUAGAUAGUGCAUCAGCAUAAUCAUCAUCAACAAUACAGUUAUGCAAUCACUGUGAAGUCAUGACACAUACAAUUAGAAAGCUUGAUGAUACUUGACAUGAUUCAAAAGUGUUUAAUUUACUCUCAAGUAUAAGAGUGUCUAGUUAUACUAUAGCUUGGUAAGUCCGAGAUCGAUCCACAGAGAAAAUAUUUAAUUUUAUCUAAAAAAUGAAAAUAAAAUUUAAAUAUAUGCAAUUUAACUUGAGAAAAACUAUAACAUUAAAUUAGUUAGGGUUAUGAUCCACUCUUAGUAACAAAUACAAUUUAAUAAAAUUUUUUAUUUUUAGUUUAUUGCCCAAAUGAUUAAUUGUAUAAAUUAUA